rnacentral:rRNA from 1 species
UGAUCUUCCCUGGGUAAGUCGGGGCCUAAGGCGAGGGCGAGAGCCGUAGUCGAUGGAUAACAGGUUGAAAUUCCUGUACUGCUUAUGGACAGAACUGUGGGGACGCAGAAGGAGAGCACGAGCCGGAAAUGGAAAAGCCGGUACAAGCGUAUAGCAGUCAUGCAGGCAAAACCGCAUGAAAAAUGUAAAGCGUUAUGUGGAUCGAACAUUAGUAGGGAAGCGUGUGAGCCAGCUGCCAAGAAAAGCCGCUAUUGUUUCAUAAGUACCCGUACCGUAAACCGACACAGGUGGAUGAGGAGAGAAUCCUAAGGCCGGCGGGAGAAGUGUUGUUAAGGAACUCGGCAAAAUGACUCCGUAACUUCGGGAGAAGGAGUGCCACAGAGAUGUGGCCGCAGAGAAAUGGCCCAAGCAACUGUUUAGCAAAAACACAGGUCUAUGCAAAACCGAAAGGUGAGGUAUAUGGGCUGACGCCUGCCCGGUGCUGGAAGGUUAAGAGGAGAGGUUAGAGCAAUCGAAGCUUUGAAUUUAAGCCCCAGUAAACGGCGGCCGUAACGAUAACGGUCCUAAGGUAGCGAAAUUCCUAGUCGGGUAAGUUCCGACCCGCACGAAAGGCGUAAUGAUUUGGGCACUGUCUCAACAACACACCCGGUGAAAUUGAAAUACCAGUGAAGAUGCUGGUUACCUGCGCCAGGACGGAAAGACCCCAUGGAGCUUUACUCCAGUUUGAUACUGGGAUACGGUACUGUCUGUACAGGAUAGGUGGGAGGCUAGGAAAUGGUGACGCCAGUUGCCAUGGAGCCAACCUUGGGAUACCACCCUUACAGUACUGGGUUUCUAACCUGCAGCCGUAACCCGGCUGGGGGACAAUGUCUGACGGGGAGUUUGACUGGGGCGGUCGCCUCCGAAAGAGUAUCGGAGGCGCUCAAAGGUUCCCUCAGAACGGUUGGAAACCGUUCGAAGAGUGCAAAGGCAGAAGGGAGCUUGACUGCGACACCGACGGGUGGAGCAGAUACGAAAGUAGGACUUAGUGAUCCGGUGGUAUAAAGUGGGAUUGCCAUCGCUCAACGGAUAAAAGCUACCCUGGGAUAACAGGCUUAUCACUCCCAAGAGUUCACAUCGACGGAGUGGUUUGGCACCUCGAUGUCGGCUCAUCGCAUCCUGGAGCUGUAGCAGGUUCCAAGGGUUGGGCUGUUCGCCCAUUAAAGCGGUACGCGAGCUGGGUUCAGAACGUCGUGAGACAGUUCGGUCCCUAUCCGGCGUGGGCGUAGGAUAUUUGAGAGGAGCUGUCCUUAGUACGAGAGGACCGGGAUGGACAAACCUCUGGUGUAUCUGUUGUUUUACCAAAGGCAUGGCAGAGUAGCCAAGUUUGGCAGGGAUAAACGCUAAAGGCAUCUAAGCGUGAAGCCCCCCUCAAGAUAAGAUAUCCCAUCUUCGGAGUAAGACCCCUUGAAGACUACAAGGUUGAUAGGCUUCAGGUGUAAGUGCGGUAACGCACUCAGCUGAGAAGUACUAAUAGGUCGAGGACUUAUC